rnacentral:misc_RNA from 1 species
GAACUGCGAUAAGUAAUGUGAAUUGCAGAAUUCAGUGAAUCAUCGAGUCUUUGAACGCACAUUGCGCCCCCUGGCAUUCCGGGGGGCAUGCCUGUCCGAGCGUCAUUGCUGCCCUUCAAGCCCGGCUUGUGUGUUGGGUCGUCGUCCCCUCCGGGGGACGGGCCCGAAAGGCAGCGGCAGCACCGCGUCCGGUCCUCGAGCGUAUGGGGCUUUGUCACCCGCUCGAUAAGGACCGGCCGGGCGCCAGCCGGCGUCUCCAACCUUUUUUUCUCAGGUUGACCUCGGAUCAGGUAGGGAUACCCGCUGAACUUAAGC